UACAGGGGGGGCAAGCGUUGUUCGGAGUUACUGGGCGUAAAGAGUGCGUAGGCGGUCCUGUAAGUUUGGUGUGAAAUCUCCCGGCUCAACUGGGAGGGUGCGCCGAAGACUGCAGGGCUUGAGUAUGGGAGAGGUAAGCGGAAUUCCUGGUGUAGCGGUGAAAUGCGUAGAUAUCAGGAGGAACACCUGUGGUGUAGACAGCUUACUGGACCAUCACUGACGCUGAGGCACGAAAGCGUGGGUAGCAAACAGG
rnacentral:rRNA from 1 species